rnacentral:rRNA from 1 species
CAACCUGAGCUCAGUCGUGAU